rnacentral:rRNA from 1 species
UACGUAGGAGGCGAGCGUUGUUCGGAAUUACUGGGCAUAAAGGGUGCGUAGGUGGCUUGUUAAGUCAGGGGUGAAAGUUUUCGGCCCAACCGGAAAAUGGCCUUUGGUACUGGCGAGCUCGAGUGCGUGAGGGGUAACCGGAACGAGCAGUGUAGCGGUGAAAUGCGUAGAUAUUGCUCGGAAGGCCAACGGCGAAGGCAGGUUACUGGUGCGCAACUGACACUGAGGCACGAAAGCGUGGGGAGCAAACAGG